UGCCCAGCAAUUCCUAUCCCUACCUACCUAAUCGUGGUACCGGCCGGAAACUAUUGUGCGUUUAGCACUAAAUUGAUUUCCGAAAAAACUUCAUGGCUGACAGGGAAGG
rnacentral:ribozyme from 1 species